GCCGGUGUGGCGGAAUGGCAGACGCGACAGACUCAAAAUCUGUUAUUCGAAAGGGUGUGCGAGUUCGAGUCUCGCCACCGGCA
rnacentral:tRNA from 19 species